UCUCAAUCCAUGGAAACCAGAAAUUUCGUUUGAGAAACAGUCCAAUGCUGACUAGAGAGACUAUGAUGUAGCCGCAGAAGAUACUGGGCAAUUCAAUAACGCUUUAUUUCUAAUUGAAAUUGUUAUCUAACCUUUAACGGAUUGAUUUCGUCGGCAAAGAAGAAUCCAAAAUCGUCAACAUACGAACCUGGCACGAUAUCCAUGCUGACACUAUUUCGCAGCUUGUGAUUGUCUGACAAAUAAUUUGAAAUGGAGCUGAUAGCCCAGGAAAACCAGACAGCGGACCAUUUCGACCCAUGGAAACCAGGGAUUUCGGUUGAACAUCAGUCCGAUGCUGACUAGAGAGACUAUGAUGUAGGCGCAGCAAGCGUAUAAAAGCCAGUCAUCAAAUUCCUGGAAAAAAGUAUCAGAAUUCAGUUAUUUUCCCUUUUAUAUUUAAUUAAUUUUACGACGAUACCUCGUAAUGGGUUGCUAGUAAUCGGUAACCUUCACUCAGUAAUAGGAAAUGAAUUGCAGCAUAUAUCUGGUCGUGUGGGAAUUCUAUGAAGAUACUUCAGGAAGUUGGUCAUAAUGGCCAAGCUUUGGGGAACCAGGAACCCAUCCGGGUCCAUAAAAGAUUGCUUUAAGCUUAUUGGUCAAUCCUGACAUGGAUUGCAUUUUUUGGAAGACUUUCCGCAGGUAAAACGGAUUAAAGGAGUCCACUUGCUCAAUCAAUCCGUAAACUAAAGGUUCGUCCCUUCGCUCGGGUUCAAAAGUUCCAAACAUUCUAUCCCAGAUAAUGAGAACACCGGCGUAAUUUUUAUCCACACAAUAACGGGUUGAUCCUAGAUCGUGUAAGGUGGUAAAUUUACACUCGUCAACAAUUUAAAGGUAUUUGUAAAUACCAUGAUGCACACGAUGAUGUGAAGGAGUAUUUAAAAUCCAUUCAAGCGGACCAAGGUCAUCGAUAACUUCCGUGUGAAUCCAGAAUUGAAAUAGAAGAUUAAAUUGAGAGUGAACGAAGAAUUGACUCGGAGGAAUGAAAAACGCCAUUGGCAGGCUUAUACCAUGAGUUGCACGGUGAGCCCAGUAAUAUCCUAAAUCCAUCCCUAUAGCGCAAGCAACCCAUGUCCACAAUGAAUCCCAGGGAAACUCAUAUAUGCGGUAGUACUCGUAAAUGUAAACAUACGCAGCAGUAGUAGCGCCUCUCAAGGCAAUACUAUUUAAAAAGACCGUUUAAAAUCUUGGGAAAACAACAAAACAUGUGGUGAUUUGCCUUUUUUACGCAGUAUAAUUCGUUCAAUUACAAUCAGAGCAAAAAACCACGUUGAGGCCUGCAAGUUAAUGAUACAAUAAAUGAGUAACUUACCCGACUAACAUAAUGAGGCACCUCAUCCGUGGUUCGAAAACUUGUCUAAAAGUUGCAAGAAAACCAUUAACUUUGUUCUACAAUUCUACCUUGAACUAUCCCUAACCUGAAAAGGAUUAACAAUAUAAAAAAGGUGACCUAAGCCUUCGAAUGCCUCCGAAAUGAAAUCCAUGAACGGUAGAAAUCUGCUGGUUCGACGUUUAUGCAACUCAAUUCUUUUCUGAAUCCCAACCGCGAUUCUCAGUGAUCAAAAGGCGUCCUUAAAUACCAUCGCAUGUUUUUGUUUAUCAGCUACUUUUGAGAUAAGAGCAAUAGAAGCCAAAGUUCAAUAAAUAUCAAUCAUCCGUC